UAGUUUAGUGUGGGCUUCAUUGUUGGGCAUUUAAUUGUGUUUGUCAAUGCUAUUCAAGAGUUAUUAUGUCAUGAGAAAACUUAUUAUUCGAUUGAGCCUCUUUAUUAGUAUAUUGGACAAAUUAUUGGGCUAUACAUUUAAUUUUAUUGUGGAAUAUUAGCUUAUGUGGUCUUGGCGGUUUGAUGGAUCUAAGCAGAUUUUGUAGCUUGGGCCAAUUGGUGAAGAAUGCAAUUAGAUUUUGGAAUUUGGGUGACUAGAAAAUAAAGAUUGGGCCAGUUGUUUUAUUUGGGCAAAAGUUAUGUGUUAACAAAAGGAUUUGGAAUUUAACUUAUCUUGUAGCAAUUGGCAAACUUUUUCUUCCUUCAUCUUCUUCUC
rnacentral:lncRNA from 1 species